rnacentral:rRNA from 1 species
UACGUAGGGUGCAAGCGUUAAUCGGAAUUACUGGGCGUAAAGCGUGCGCAGGCGGUUUUGUAAGUCUGACGUGAAAUCCCCGGGCCCAACCUGGGAAUUGCGUUGGAGACUGCAAGGCUGGAGUCUGGCAGAGGGGGGUAGAAUUCCACGUGUAGCAGUGAAAUGCGUAGAGAUGUGGAGGAACACCGAUGGCGAAGGCAGCCCCCUGGGUCAAGACUGACGCUCAUGCACGAAAGCGUGGGGAGCAAACAGG